rnacentral:rRNA from 1 species
GACGAACUGUGCAAACGUUAUUCGGAAUCACUGGGCUUGAAGAGUGCGUAGGCGGUUUCGUAAGUAGGGUGUGAAAGCCCCCAGCUCAACUGGGGAACUGCGUCCUAAACUGCGAGGCUGGAGUGAGGUAGGGGUGUGUGGAACUUCCGGUGGAGCGGUGAAAUGUGUUGAUAUCGGAAGGAACGCCGGUGGCGAAAGCGACACACUGGGCCUUGUUCGUGACGCUGAGGCACGAAAGCCAGGGGAGCAAACGGG